rnacentral:rRNA from 1 species
AUACGGAGGGUGCAAGCGUUACUCGGAAUCACUGGGCGUAAAGGAUGCGUAGGCGGAUAAUCAAGUCAAAAGUGAAAUCCUACAGCUUAACUGUAGAACUGCUUUCGAAGCUGGUUAUCUAGAAUAUGGAAGAGGCAGAUGGAAUUAGUGGUGUAGGGGUAAAAUCCGUAGAGAUCACUAGGAAUACCGAUUGCGAAGGCGAUCUGCUGGGACAUUAUUGACGCUGAGGCAUGAAAGCGUGGGGAGCAAACAGGAUUAGAAACCCUAGUAGUCC